rnacentral:rRNA from 1 species
AUUGAACGCUGGCGGCAGGCCUAACACAUGCAAGUCGAGCGGAUGAAGGGAGCUUGCUCCUGGAUUCAGCGGCGGACGGGUGAGUAAUGCCUAGGAAUCUGCCUGGUAGUGGGGGAUAACGUCCGGAAACGGGCGCUAAUACCGCAUACGUCCUGAGGGAGAAAGUGGGGGAUCUUCGGACCUCACGCUAUCAGAUGAGCCUAGGUCGGAUUAGCUAGUUGGUGGGGUAAAGGCCUACCAAGGCGACGAUCCGUAACUGGUCUGAGAGGAUGAUCAGUCACACUGGAACUGAGACACGGUCCCGACACCUACGGGAGGCAGCAACUGGGAAUAUUGGACCAUUGGCGAAAGCCUGAACCAGCCAAGCCGCGUGUGUGAAGAAGGUCUUCCGAUUGUAAAGCACUUUAAGUUGGGAGGAAGGGCAGUAAGUUAAUACCUUGCUGUUUUGACGUUACCAACAGAAUAAGCACCGGCUAACUUCGUG